rnacentral:rRNA from 1 species
UGGGGAAUUUUGCACAAUGGGGGAAACCCUGAUGCAGCGACGCCGCGUGAUUUAGAAGGCUUUCGGGUUGUAAAAAUCUUUUGUAUGGGAAGAAAAUGACAGUACCAUACGAAUAAGGACCGGCUAAUUACGUGCCAGCAGCCGCGGUAAUACGUAAGGUCCGAGCGUUGUCCGGAAUCAUUGGGCGUAAAGGGUACGUAGGCGGAUAAGCAAGUUAGAAGUGAAAUCCUAUAGCUCAACUAUAGUAAGCUUUUAAAACUGCUCAUCUUGAGGUAUGGAAGGGAAAGUGGAAUUCCUAGUGUAGCGGUGAAAUGCGCAGAUAUUAGGAGGAAUACCGGUGGCGAAGGCGACUUUCUGGCCAUAAACUGACGCUGAGGUACGAAAGCGUGGGUAGCAAACAGG